GAUGAAGAACGCAGCGAAAUGCGAUACUUGGUGUGAAUUGCAGAAUCCCGUGAACCAUCGAGUCUUUGAACGCAAGUUGCGCCCGAAGCCAUUAGGCCGAGGGCACGCCUGCCUGGGCGUCACACGUCGUUGCCCCCCCAUCUACUCCUUCGGGAGUGCGGGGGGCGGAUGAUGGCCUCCCGUGCGCCUCGUCGCGCGGUUGGCAUAAAUGCCAAGUCCUCGGCGACGCACGCCACGACAAUCGGUGGUUGCGAAACCUCGGUUGCCCGUCGUGUGCGGUCGUCGCGCAUCGAGGGCUCGAAAAAAUUGCCGGGCUCCGGCUCGGCUUUCAACGCGACCCCAGGUCAGGCGGGGUUACCCGCUGAAUUUAAGAAUAUCAAUAAGCGGAGGA
rnacentral:misc_RNA from 1 species